CUUCCUUCCACCAUAUGUUCGCCUAAACCAAGUAUGAUGUUGAUUUUAAAAAUAAUUGUUUAAUAAAUGGACAGAUAGCAGGUAAUAUGAGAGGGAAACAUUAGUACCGUGGCCACAUGGAAAGCGAAGCAUAACAUUAAAAAUUAACUUGACAAAGCAAUGACACAACAGCUAGAUGUAAACAACAUUUCAACCCAUUUUUGUCACUUAUUUUUUUUUAUCCAUACCAAGUCAGAAAAGUAUCCACCACAAUAAUGUUUUAUCUCAAACCAUCAAAUUAAAAAAAUAAAAAAGUGCAAACGGGUCAAGAAAAG
rnacentral:misc_RNA from 1 species